UGGGGAAUAUUGCACAAUGGGCGCAAGCCUGAUGCAGCCAUGCCGCGUGUAUGAAGAAGGCCUUCGGGUUGUAAAGUACUUUCAGCGGGGAGGAAGGCGAUAAGGUUAAUAACCUUGUCGAUUGACGUUACCCGCAGAAGAAGCACCGGCUAACUCCGUGCCAGCGGCCGCGGUAAUACGGAGGGUGCAAGCGUUAAUCGGAAUUACUGGGCGUAAAGCGCACGCAGGUGGUCUGUCAAGUCUGAUGUGAAAUCCCCGGGCGCAACCUGGGAACUGCAUUCGAAACUGGCAGGCUAGAGUCUUGUAGAGGGGGGUAGAAUUCCAGGUGUAGCGGUGAAAUGCGUAGAGAUCUGGAGGAAUACCGGUGGCGAAGGCGGCCCCCUGGACAAAGACUGACGCUCAGGUGCGAAAGCGUGGGGAGCAAACA
rnacentral:rRNA from 1 species